AGAGCCUGCAUCACAUGUCCCUGCCCCCAUGAACUGAACUGAACUCUACCACUCUGCCUUCCUCCAUCCUGGGCAGAAAGCUUCUGAAGCCAUGAGCCCAAAUGAAUCCAUCUUUCCUCUCUUGGUUUCCAUCAGGUUCUGUGGUCACAGCAAUUCAAAAGCUAACCUCUGCAUUCUGAAGGGUAAUUGGCUCGUUUCCAUUUGGACCAUUUGGCAAGAAAGAGCAGAAACUUCUAGAAAGCUUCCACUCAUCUUCAAAGUGAGCCAGGAUUAAGAUGUAGCUCCUCCUCCACUCUCACCUCUUUCUCCAGCAUGCCAACAUGUGCGGUCAUGAGGAUAAUGGACUAAACCUCUGAAACUGAUUUGGAGCCUGUCCUGGAACUUGCUCUGUAGACCAGGCUGGCCCUGAACUCACACCUGCUUCUGCCUUCCACUUGUAUUUUUUUUAACUUUUACUUAUUUACUUAUUAUUUUUGUGCUCUGUGUGUGUGUGCACACGUGGGCACGCAUCAGAGAGAGAGAGAGCUCACACAACAUGCUCACAGGGACCCACAGAGGGCAGAAAAGUGUCUCGGAUCCCCUGGAGCUGGAAGCAUUUUUAUCCACUGAGCCAUCUCCCAGGCCUCCUGUUACUAGUUUUCAGUCCAUCUGGAAGAUCCAUCUUGACUAGGUGAUCUGUGUUUCCCAAGUUCCUGGAAACAUCUACUAUCCUGGGUCAUUGAUGCUUGUUUUUAAUCAGAAAAAGAAAUGAGAUAUUGUGAACAUG
rnacentral:lncRNA from 1 species